rnacentral:rRNA from 1 species
UACAGAGGGGGCAAGCGUUGUUCGGAAUCGCUGGGCGUAAAGGGUGCGUAGGCGGGUCUUUAAGUCAGGGGUGAAAUCCUGGAGCUCAACUCCAGAACUGCCUUUGAUACUGAAGAUCUUGAGUUCGGGAGAGGUGAGUGGAACUGCGAGUGUAGAGGUGAAAUUCGUAGAUAUUCGCAAGAACACCAGUGGCGAAGGCGGCUCACUGGCCCGAUACUGACGCUGAGGUACGAAAGCGUGGGGAGCAAACAGG